AGAAAAAGAAGUGUUUUACAAUAAUAUCUAUAUAAUUUUUAUUGAUAUGAGAUAAAACUUGAAUUCGAUUUAACGAAGAAACGUCGUAUAUAACGAAUGAAUAAACGAAAGACUUUAUUAUCGAGUUAAUAUCGAUCCCGAUAAUCGCCAAUUGAACGUAACAGAUUUCGCAUAGGGAAAUUUUCCCCUACCAUUACGAAAAAUCACUUUUGCUCGACAUUGAAAAGACCUCUUCUCUAUCUUCUUUAAAUUUAUCACGUGGAAAGUGGAAUUUGUAUAUUACAGUAAGCGUAUUGAUAAGUGAGUCACACCGUACGUGUUUAGUAAUAAAAAUAGAACGAUUCGUAUCGGGUAAAGAAGAAGAGAGUGUAAUCUCGCGUUUCGCUGAAUCGUUGAAAAGACGGUGAAAGUCCGUGUGCUAGUAAGUAGAAGACAAGAAAAAGAAAAAGAAGAAGAAGAAGAAGAAGAAGAAGAAGAAGGAAAAAGAGAAAGAGAAUGAGGAGAAGGAAGUGAGGAAGGGGAGGGUUUGUGUGAAUUGUCGAGCUUGAUAAAAAAAAAAAAGAAAAAAAAGAAAAAGGAAAAAGAAAAAAGGAAAUGAUAAAAAAAAAAGAAACAAGAAAAGCAAAAAAAAAAAGGGACAAAGAAAGAGAGACUCCUUUGGUGCGCUCGAUAUGAAUGGCCGAGGCCUCGAAGAGGAGAGCCACUCGACGAAUUCUUCUCGAUAACCGUUUCCUCUCUGUUCUUCCCACGUUUCUUGUCGUCGUAGUUUUCUCUCUCUCUCUCUCUCUCUCUCUCUCUAUAUAUAUAUAUAUAUAUAUAUAUAUAUCGGAUCUCCUUCGUUUUUCCAUUCUCACCCGAGUGGCAUUCUCCACAUCUCCCACCCCUUUCCGUCGCUAUCCGCAAUCCACCUUUCCUUUCUUCUUGUUUUGAAAUAUGCGCGAAUUUGCCGUCGUCGUACGUUCGAAGAGACGUAGAAUCGCGUGACGCACACGUUGGAAUCUUACAAGGAGACCUCGAGCGCGGCCAGCGACACCGGCGAUUAGCAAGAAGCUCGUCAUCCUGGAACGUCGACGAAGAGAAGAAGAAGAAGAAGAAGAAGAAGAAGAAGAAGAAGGAAAAGAAGAAAAAGAAAAAGAAAAAGAAAAAGAAAAAGAAAAAGAAAAAGAAAAAGAAGAAGACGAAGAAGAAGAAAAAGAAGAAGCAAAUGCGAAGACAAGAGCGUGCGCGUGCGCUCGCGCUCGUGGACGCACGCGCACGCGUCCUAUCUCACUCCCGUGCUUGUACACGGAAAGAGGAAGAUCGUUAACCCUUUCGCCUUUCGCUGAGUAUUCUCUUAACGGAGGACACCUGCGUCGCUUCCGAUAAGACGACGUGCGUCGCACUACUACGUUCUCUAUCCUUUUCUAUAUCUUUUUUUUUUUUAUCCUUCAUGACCAUUUCCACCACCUCCACCUCUUACACCUUCUCCAUCUACUUAUCUCUUUUUCUUCUUCUUAUUCUUCUUCUUGUUGUUGUUGUUCUUCUUCUUUUUUUCUUCGUCAUUACGUAUCGUAUCACGUUUGUUUCAUUUUCAUCAAAGCGGAAGCGAUCUUUCUGCUCUUCUUCAUUUUUCUUAUCUUCUUUUUCUUCUUCUUCUUCUUCUUCUUCUUCUUCUUCUUCUUCUUCUGUUUAUCGUUCUAUGGCAAUACCAAGAGAAAAAUCAAAGAAAGAAAGAAAGAAAGAAGGAAACACAUUAACCGUCGCUGGGCAACGAACUUUCAGAUAUAUCCUGGGGUAUACACGUACUAUAGAAUGUGUUCGCAGUUUGACAGGCGUUUGAACUUGCUUUCUAGAAGUUGUUUACGCCUCAACCAAGGUUACGUUUAUGAUGUAACAAACCGACAGAGUUUUUCUUCUUCGAUGCUUUUUAUACGAUACUUAUUCUUAAGUAUCUAAAGUAAGUAAGUAAAUCAUCUCGAAAUGAUAUAUUCGGAUAUAUUAGUUUUCUGCGAUGUCAUAGGAUAAAAAGUCAAUCGAUUCUAUACUAAUUCACGAUCGAUUAAAUCGAAAUUGGUUAACGACAUCCAAUGAUCCCUGUAAUGUAAUGUUAAACUAUAAGAAAAUGACCUUGAGACUUGUAUACUGUAACGAAAGUUAAUGGGGUUUGUGGUGGUCCUUUCGCAAGCAAAGGAGAUUCGUCGCUAGACGUAGCUCGUGCCCAGUCGUCCGAUAUAAUUGUAUGUAUUUGGGUUUUUGGGCAGUCUCCGUUUGGUAACCUUGGGCCCGUUUCCAUACACCACCCGCGAUCAACGUCCUCUCAUGUGGCGUAUCGCUGGGGUCCAUCUGAUGACGCGUGUUCUAAAUUUGUUCAACGAGUCUUACGCAAUCGUUAACUCAUUUUUGAGUUGCGUCCUGCGAAAAUUUCUCACAUCUACUCUUGGAAUUUCAAGAAGCUUAAUUAUUCGUAUAACAAGUCGAAAAUAAUCGGACGUAUCAACGAAAAUUUUAACGUAAAAAUCAAAGAAAAUAAAAUCCUACGGAAUUCUGAAUUAUACAUAUAUAUAUAUAUAUAUAUAUAUUUAUAUUAUAGUUAUAUUAUAUAUUAAUUAUAUUAUAAUAUAUAUUGAAUAUAUAUGUAUAUACGUAUAUAUGUAUGUAUGUGUAUAUAUAUAAAUGUAAAUGAAGAAAAUCCGUAGAAAGUGAAUUCGCUAAUAUACGUGAUGAUUAAAUCGUACGAGAAAAAAAUAUCGUCAGCUGUGUGUUUCUUGUUAAUCUCCGCACAUAUCGAAUUAAUAAUUGUCGAGGACAAUCAGAGGAUUACCGAGAAAUCGGUUUCAUCCUUCGUCGCUAAGAACAAAUUCCGUACAGUCCCUCAAAGAGUAUUUCUGGAAAGGCGUGUUCGUCAUAAUGAACGUAACCACCCCUCGGACAUCAUUGUGAUAUAAACGCUAUAAUCGCAGGAAAUGGUUCGAAGACGAUUCAACGUGCGUUGCAUAAUUAGCUCUUCAGCUUUUCUUUCCAAGUAUCCAUUCUAUGCGUGCUUGAUUAUGUAUCGUAUAGAUUCCGAACAGGAAAUUCACCUUUACGGAUAAAAAUUAAUAAAGUAUCGACCGUAAAAGGAAGCUAGGAACAUUAUUCAUUGCGACCGCACGCGCGUUCGCUGAAAGUAGAAAUCAUUACGAUAUCUAAACGGCUCUUGGACGUCAAGUUUUUUUCACAAUUCUGAGAGUUGUUUUCUCGUUUUAACGUCCAACUAGAAAAACAUACGUAGUCGUAUUAAGUAUGUACGUAUAUAAUAGUAUCUAUUUCUGUAUGCAUGUAAUACAUAUAUGUAUCUACGUAUACGACGGGGUUGUUUGUUUAAAAACUUUCGACCGUCCUUACGAAGUUUCACAAGUUUUGAUCGGCGUCCGUUCAGAUUCGAGUAAAUCCGUCGUUUUACAAAGAGGAAAAAACGGACGACGAAGAAAGAGAGAGGAAAAGUCGUCCCCGUCGUGGAAUCUGUGUUUCGGUGUUUCGGAGCCAAGGUCUCGUUGCGGAUACCUCCGAAUAUCGCAGCACAAGCGAUGCCACGUUAAUGCAGGUCAGGUUCUGCGGGUUCGUCGCAAUCUCUCGAGGUCGCCCUGCGCGCUCUGAUAUUUUCGCGUAAACAAAAAACGCGAGAUGAUGCCAACGAGUCGAACUUGAGAGAAAUCGAUACGUUUCACUCCGUAAAACACCAUCCUCCCAAUUCAUUCGCCGACCGAUCGGCACCAUUCGCCGAUAUUACAAUCGAAAUUUAGCUUCGUUUAUACCUCCAAAUUUUGUCAAAAUGUCCGAUUGAAAUAUAUAUUUGUUCGGGAUAAAGGAAAAUAAAAAAAGACGGAAAGAAGAUCAACCGAAUGACUCGAAUUCUAAGCGAUAAUGUCCUGUCAAUCAUGUUCUGGAUGUCCAAUGAGACCAUGUCCUCCUGAAAGAUCCUGUCCACCAAAAUACAUCUGUCCACCGAGUUCUCCUUACAAAAUCUGCAUAAUUCCACCCAUACCACAAAAACCUAGUUGGAAACCUUGUUGUAUACGCGUCUACGGUUUCCCGUGCAACAGACAUCGUCGUCCAGAAAAGUUCAUACGAUUCACCAAUUUAGAUUGCUGUUCUCAGUGGUAAAUAUCUAUAAUCCAAAAUAUAAACUGAGAGAGAACGAGGAAAAGAAAGAGAAAAAGAAAAAGAGAGAGAAUCAAACGGACGAUAACGAAUCAAAAAGUUUAAGACGAUCAAUCGUGAAAUUUUUCCACGAUCUAUAAACUUGUAAGAAAAUUUUCAAAAGCUCGAAAGUAAAGAUCCUUCGAAACGAUUCCUCUCGAAGAUUUCUAUUGAAUAAGUAUAUCCAUUUGAAAAAUAUCAUUCGAACUAAUCCACCGAAAGAAAUGAAGAUAAACGUGGAAAGCAUUCUGAUGGCCAUGGAAAUGAUUUUACGUAUGUUCAUAAUAUUUACCGGACGUGGACUCUUGCUCUUUUUAAAGUUCAAUUAAUAUGUCAACAGAUUAAAUGAUCAGAAUGUCACAACAUAAAAUAUAAAGAACAAAUAUAACAACAUAAAAUA